CUUGCUUCUCUUGAGAGCGGCGGACGGGUGAGUAAUGCCUAGGAAUCUGCCUGGUAGUGGGGGAUAACGUCCGGAAACGGACGCUAAUACCGCAUACGUCCUACGGGAGAAAGCAGGGGACCUUCGGGCCUUGCGCUAUCAGAUGAGCCUAGGUCGGAUUAGCUAGUUGGUGGGGUAAUGGCUCACCAAGGCGACGAUCCGUAACUGGUCUGAGAGGAUGAUCAGUCACACUGGAACUGAGACACGGUCCAGACUCCUACGGGAGGCAGCAGUGGGGAAUAUUGGACAAUGGGCGAAAGCCUGAUCCAGCCAUGCCGCGUGUGUGAAGAAGGUCUUCGGAUUGUAAAGCACUUUAAGUUGGGAGGAAGGGCAGUAAAUUAAUACUUUGCUGUUUUGACGUUACCGACAGAAUAAGCACCGGCUAACUCUGUGCCAGCAGCCGCGGUAAUACAGAGGGUGCAAGCGUUAAUCGGAAUUACUGGGCGUAAAGCGCGCGUAGGUGGUUCGUUAAGUUGGAUGUGAAAUCCCCGGGCUCAACCUGGGAACUGCAUUCAAAACUGACGAGCUAGAGUAUGGUAGGGGUGGUGGAAUUUCCUGUGUAGCGGUGAAAUGCGUAGAUAUAGGAAGGAACACCAGUGGCGAA
rnacentral:rRNA from 1 species